rnacentral:rRNA from 1 species
GUGAGGAAUAUUGCGCAAUGGGCGAAAGCCUGACGCAGCGACGCCGCGUGGAGGACGAAGGUCUUCGGAUCGUAAACUCCUGUCGAGCGGGACGAAGCCGGGGCGGUGAAUAGCCGCUUCGGUUGACGGUACCGCUAAAGGAAGCCCCGGCUAACUCCGUGCCAGCAGCCGCGGUAAUACGGAGGGGGCCAGCGUUGUUCGGAAUCAUUGGGCGUAAAGGGCGCGUAGGCGGCUUGGUAAGUCCGUUGUGAAAUCCCUCGGCUCAACCGAGGAACUGCGACGGAUACUGCUUGGCUUGAGUCCCGGAGAGGGUAGCGGAAUUCCCAGUGUAGCGGUGAAAUGCGUAGAUAUUGGGAGGAACAUCGGUGGCGAAGGCGGCUACCUGGACGGGUACUGACGCUGAGGCGCGAAAGCUAGGGGAGCAAACAGGAUUAGAAACCCGGGUAGUCC